AUGUUUGACUAACAGCUAACUGAGGGCUCUAAGUGCCUCCAGCUAACUUACAGAUCGCGCCAGUAACAGCCCCAGGGGACUGGGGCUGCUGAAGGAUGAGAGAGUGUGCUAGGGUCAAGACUUAAGUGUUCCUAUAAGGUAGGGGUCUUAAAUCCAAGGCUGUGUCAGGGGCUCCAUCAACCCGAAAAUGAAGGGGUAUAAACUGUCUCAUGUUAUCAAAUAAAAUUGAUUUAAUUUUGCAACA